CCACCGGCUCCGGAGGCGGCAGCGGCGCUGCCCGAGCGAAGCGGCGGUGGGGCCACGUUGGGCGCCGGGCGGGAGCGGAGGCCGCCGCGGACCCCGCAAUCCCGCAGCCGGCGACUGGAUCCCACCUCUGCAGAGACAAAGGAGCUGCGCCAGAGAACACCAGCUGAAAGUAAAUGUCCUUGAGGGCCCCAGCAUUCUCCUCAUCAUUAAUGCAUGGGCAUGAUCAUCCAGGCUUCAGAACCUGCCUGAAAGAGAUGCCGGAAGAAUCAGCAAACACCAGGGAAGCAGAGGACACAAGCUUGGAUGUGAAAGAGCAACAUCUUGUGCAUUGAAGAAUAAUAAAGUUUUUAAUUACAAAAGAAAA